GCCCGGAUAGCUCAGACGGUAGAGCAUUG
rnacentral:ncRNA from 2 species